UACGUAGGGUGCAAGCGUUAUCCGGAAUUAUUGGGCGUAAAGAGCUCGUAGGCGGUUUGUCGCGUCUGCCGUGAAAGUCCGGGGCUCAACUCCGGAUCUGCGGUGGGUACGGGCAGACUAGAGUGUGGUAGGGGAGACUGGAAUUCCUGGUGUAGCGGUGGAAAUGCGCAGAUAUCAGGAGGAACACCAAUGGCGAAGGCAGAUCUCUGGGCCGUAACUGACGCUGAGGAGCGAAAAGCAUGGGGGGAGCGAACAGGAU
rnacentral:rRNA from 1 species